rnacentral:rRNA from 1 species
UACGGGGGGGGCAAGCGUUGUUCGGAAUUACUGGGCGUAAAGCGCGCGUAGGCGGCUUUGUAAGUUAGAGGUGAAAGCCCGGAGCUCAACUCCGGAACUGCCUUUAAGACUGCAUCGCUUGAAUCCAGGAGAGGUGAGUGGAAUUCCGAGUGUAGAGGUGAAAUUCGUAGAUAUUCGGAAGAACACCAGUGGCGAAGGCGGCUCACUGGACUGGUAUUGACGCUGAGGUGCGAAAGCGUGGGGAGCAAACAGGG